rnacentral:rRNA from 1 species
GCGAAGAACCUUACCAGGGCUUGACAUGGGCCGGCUGCUCCUGGAGACGGGGGCCUCCCUUUUUGGGCUGGUUCACAGGUGGUGCAUGGUUGUCGUCAGCUCGUGUCGUGAGAUGUUGGGUUAAGUCCCGCAACGAGCGCAACCCCUGUCCCGUGUUGCCAGCGUGUUGUGGCGGGGACUCGCGGGAGACUGCCGGGGUUAACUCGGAGGAGGGUGGGGACGACGUCAAAUCAUCAUGCCCCUUAUGUCCUGGGCUUCACGCAUGCUACAAUGGCCGGUACAGUGGGUUGCGAUGUCGUGAGGCGGAGCGAAUCCCUUAAAGCCGGUCUCAGUUCGGAUCGGUGUCUGCAACUCGACACCGUGAAGUCUGGAGUCGCUAGU